CCUAAGAUAGCUUACAGAACCAUAUUUUAAAUGGACAGCAAGGUGGAGAAGCUGGGGAAGGAAGUACAAAGGGGUCACUCAGAGAAAGAAGACCAAAGGCAGAUCUUGAGCAAAUGAGAAUAGUGCAUAGGAUGAGAGAGGCUGGGAUAAGGAGAAAGAGAACAGGAAAGCAGGAAAAUGGGAUGGAAUGGAGACUAUAGAAUGUGUGAAUGACAGGGACAGGCAUCAUUGCAUAUAGCAGGUGAUUACAGACUUGUUCUCUAUUGCAAGAAGGGCCAGUUUUAUUUAAAAGGCCAGAUAUUUAUUUGUCCAUAACAUAGUUAUUAAGCAUUAACUAUAGUCUCUUUUCUAGACACUUGGGAUAUGGGAAUAAAAAAAAAAGAAAAACUCUGUGUUAUUAUGUAGCUUAAAUUGGGUAGGAGGGUAAGGACAGAUCAUACAACAUCAUAAAAAAGUGAAAAUAUUAAAAGACAAUUACUAUGGAAAAAAUAAGUAAGAAAAAAAUAAUCAAGGGAAUCAAGAUUACAAGACUGUGUUAAAAUUUAAAGGGUGAUCAGGAUUGGCUUAUUAAGAAAGCAAUAUUUUAAGAGUAACAUGAAGAAGAGGACUCCAGGCAGAGGGAAGAACCAGUACAAAUGUGUUAGGCCUAAGACCUUAAGAGUUUAGAAGAUAAAACUGCAGACAAUAUCACAGAGCUCCCAUGCAUAGCACAGGAAAGUAUCUUAAACCCCCGUGUACCCCGAGAAGGUACAAAGUAAGCUGAGAGUGGGCAGGUGGACCAGAAGAAAGCUUGAGUUUGGAAACAAGAGACCACAGCAGGACACACAAAUCAGCCUGAGGCCUGGGCAAGGCUAGGGAUGCAAAUGCAGACAGGACAGACUUUGACUACUUGCGCAGAUGAAGGCAAAGACCAGCAGCCAGACCAGACCCUCCUUCACAGUGCCAGGAUGACAUUCCAGAUUCCUUUGAAGACCCCCAUUGACCCAGUCCUGGUGCCCUCCUCUGGACAAAUCAACCGUGCCACUGAAGUAGCAUCAAGCUUCCUGCUGUGA
rnacentral:lncRNA from 1 species